CCAGGCUGUUCGGAACAGAUAACUAUAUAGGUGUGUGUUAUUAUUAUAUCUGCAGAUUAAACAGACCAUUUUAUGUAGUCAUCAACGGUGAUAGGUGAAGUUAAGUGCAAGGCAAACCAAAAAAAAACUAAGAAUAAUUCGAGGAUUUGGAUUUAUUUAGGAUUUUAGCUCAAAAUUAUUGCCAAUAUAAAUUAAAACUACAUACUUUCUACGUACGUCAAUGUCAAUGAUAUUGAUAAUUCUAUAGUCAACAAUAAGAUUUCUUCAGAUAGUUCAUCGCACGACUCCAAUACAAUGGCUACUUUCCAUGCAAUUCAGAUUACCAGACAAAAUCUACCAGUGAUUCUUUUCGUUUGGCUGAGUUUGGCAGUGAGACUGGACUUUACAACAGGUAAUCGAUGGUCAAGGCAGGUAUCGAAAAGCGAAUGGAUACCUAUGACUCAUUCACGGUCACAGUUUUCUGAAACUCCAUCGAAUCAAGUACCACUAGUUUCGUUAGUUGAAUCAUUACGUUUAUCCCCUGAGUCAAAACAACAAUAUCUCCAGGAACAAGCGCAACUGCAUAGAAGCCGAAACGGUAUUCAAAAGCUUCUUGCCAUCCAGCAGCAGCAGCACAGAAAUCAACAAGAAGUCUAUCAGGGUCACACUUACUCACCAAAUGUUGUUUCGAGUUCUAACAAGAUGGCUUUGAACCAGAACACAGUUAAUACUUACCAUGGUAUACCAAAUGUUUCUCCUGAUGUUUCGAUUCCUCCUAGAAUAAUGAGUGAUGCAUUACCAGUCUAUUCACCCUAUGAACUUACCAAAACGGGACUUCCAUCAGAACCCGAAACAUAUGACAUAACAAAAUCAAAAAGUUCAACAAUCAGUGCAGGAAUUCAAGAGAUCAGUUAUUUUCCUGAAACCAUUCCGAGUGGGCUGAAUGGAGUUGGCAAAAAUCAAAAUACCCAAGAUGAGAUACAAGUCGUGUACGUGCCAGCAGAAACACUUGUGAAAAGAGACAAAUUGAAGAAGGAUAAAAAUCAGAACCAAAAACAAAUUGAUUUCUCCCAAUCAAAAUGGUUCGAGCAUCACUCUACAUAUCCACAAAGCCACUUACCAGAAAAUAUUGUACUUAGUUCUGCUGAUCAGUAUAUUCCCGUCACUCAUCGAUUGGUAGAGUUUCCUCGUGUUUAUGACGGACAUGAUUAUUUUUUAGAAAAUUCUCGUCAAAAAGAAUUAGAACAUUCGAAUAAGUUACACUCAGAAAUGCAGAAAAAAGCAGAAUUCCAAAUGUCAGCAAGACAUCAUGAACGAGAAAGAUUUCCUCUAAGAGAAUCUGAGCAUAGACAGAACGAACAAGCUAAAGAUGCGAUUGAACGAGAUAUUGAACAGUUGCAACAGCUACAUGGAAAAUAUCAUGAACUUAAAGAUGCUGGACAGACGAAAGAAAGCGUAGUCGGAAAUAGACAACUCAAUACUGACCAAGUAACUGCUCUUGAACGACAGAAAAAUGAAGAAAAACUGACAGUAAAGAAGGAGAACGAUCGUAUGAAAAAAAUUAAUAAUCAAGGUGGGUUUACUGCUGAUACAUCAGCAGAUGAGCUUUAUUCAAAUGAUCAAAAAAAGUAUUCUACGAGGACGGAAAAUCUUUCCAACAUACUGAAAUCCCCUAAUAAUAAAUCCCAAACUAAGCUCGAUCAUCAUUACAAUUAUCAGUACGAAUCGACCAAUAAAAAUUUUCGACCAAACCAAGAUGCCCAAACCAAUCAACCAACUCCAAAUCAACCACCACUAGCUAUAUUCUUAAGAAAAGAUGACCAAACCGAUAUCAUACAAAAAGAGACUAUAGACGAUGUUCUUAAAGCCCUCAAGAAUGCCAUAACAAUUGCAGUUCUUGAUCAAGUUUCUAUUGAUGCUCCAAAAGUCUUUGUUGGACCAUCAAACUUAGAACUAUUACAAAGAUAUGCUAAAUUUGAGCUCCCUUAUUUGUCAUCUUUAGAUACAAGUCUUGUUGAAAAAAGAAUCAAUAAACUACCGUUCUUCGUAGCUCCUCUUAGUUUUAUUCCUCCUGAAGGACACUCAAAAAUUCCAUUUCCAGCACCUCAUAUUGGCUCUGUUAUAAUUAACUAUAGUGAUUUUAUUCCGUCAUCAAUGGAUAAUUUUGAAUAUUCGCUUGACUUCAAUUCAAGACCAGCUGCUGAAUUUAACUCAUUCAUAAGUAGCUCUGGACAACAAUUAUCAAUCACGCCAAACUACUGGAUUACAACCACUCCAACUUAUACUGAAUUUAUGCAAGAGUAUAUUACUCCACAAUACCAGCAGAGUACAAGCUCAUCAUCAGUUCCAAAUAGCUUUUCUAAACUCAGACAACAACCAUAUGAACAUCAGCCUAUGAACAACUUUUCGAACAAAGAGUCUCUUGUUAUGUCUCCUUUUCAGGAUAACACAACAAGUUCAGUCCAAUCACGGAUAGAAUAUUCCAAAUCAAAGCUACCUGUCUCGGAAAUAUUGAGUCCUUAUCAACAUCAAAAUAUCGAUUCGUAUAAUAAUUAUGAACGAGAUUCAGAAGUUACAACUUCGGCUUAUCGUAACCAUUUAGAAACAGAGUUUUUACAGAAUAACCAACAUGUUUAUAGCGAUAAUAACUCAUCUAACUUUCACGACAAGUACCCUAACACUAGCUCCAGCAAGCAUACCCAUUACUUAUUCGCUGAUUUAAUUAGGCCAGUAUAUAUCUCAAAUACGAAUGGUACUGAGGAAAAACAAAACAUUAAUCCGAUGGGCAGUAUGACUACAACUUCAAAUCCCAUUAUAACGACUACACUACAACCUCCAGUAACUACUCCUCAAAUCCGGAGCCGAAAAAGAAAUAAGAGUACUGUUCAACCUAUUAUUACUCCUAUCAUCAAUACAACAACUCGUUCAAGGAUUGCUAAAGAUCAGACUGAUUCAUCACGUGAGCCUUUCAAUUACUCUCGCUCGAGAUCAACGAGCAUCACCGAAGAAUAUAGUAAAGACUCAAGUGAACCAAAACUAUCUGAAGGGUUGGAAACUGCUAAGCAAUCAUCUAUUACGAAUCAAUUCCGUCGCCCAGAUACAACAAAAAGACAUAAACUCAAACCCCUUAAUAACACUGCUUACGUGGCCACGAAUAAAGAACUUGAUCAUCCUGCUGAUAAUAAAAAACAUUCAACCGAUUCUCAAGACCCAGUACCUUCUGUUGGAAAAAAUCAAAAUUAUCUAAGGAUAUCAAACAUAUCGUCAGAUUCACGUAUUCAGCAGUCGAAUUUCCACAUGGCUAAGACACAUAGUAGAGAUCCGUAUCAAAAAGAAAUUAUCCACCCAGUGUCUUAUGGAGCUGUUGAUCAAACUUCAUCAACUUUGCAAUUAAAAAUAAAUCAUAAUCCUCAAAUCAAUUAUAGACAUAAUGAAACUCUGGAAAAUUCUUCACUCUUUAUGGCAGAGCCCACGAAGACAAGUUCUGAAGGAAUAAUAUCAACUAGCGAAAUAGCAACAACAAUAAAAACAAUGACCCCAGCAACUAUUUCAACUCGACACCGUGUUCAUACUCGUUUAAGCUCUCAAACACGAAAACAAUCUCCGAUUCAAGAACAGUCUAAUAAAUUGCAGAGAAAGUACGUAAUAUUUAAUGGAAUAAAUCAAGAAACGAGUGAUAUUUUACCAUCUUCAAACGGCUAUCAGCUAGAUUCUGGCCAAUCCAGAAAUGGGACUUAUCCUCAUCAACAGAAAGAAGUGCAGAGUGGAGGUGACAACUAUGUAAGAAUUAAAUCGUCAAGUCGAUCUAAAAAUCAAAAAUUAGUAGUGCAAACGCCUAGAUCAAGAGUAGAACUUAUGAUAGAACCUCAAACUCCUGCACCAUUUACAACGAAAGAAGAGUUUCAGGAAGCUAACUUUGGAGAUGAUUCUGCUUAUCUACCUAUUUCCAAUCAUUCAGAAAGUCAGGCGGGUAGUAAACUAAAAACACUUGCUUCACAAAUUCAAUUAAAAAAUAUCACACGAACAAAUAUUACUGCUGAAGAUUCUAGUUCUAUUCGAGCUCCCACCUUAAAUUAUCGUCGAAAGUAUCCUGUACGUAACCAGUCUCUUCAUAUGAUUAAAUCAUCAGCUGAUUCAAUGACAACCACGCUACCUAGUAUUGAUUACACUAUUCAAUUUCGAGUUGAAAAUAAUGAAUCAAAAAAUAAAACUCGCAUUAAGUCACGUCGUCUCAGUGCUCGAAGACGCUCAACUUCAACCGUAAGUCCAAAUUUAACAACAAUAGAUGAUACGAAUAACAGAAAAAUAAGCUUGCUAAGAGAUGAAAAUUACCCCGAAAGUCUUUUGGCUCGUACCAAAAGUUCUAUUGAUCGCCAGUCUGUCGACAGCCAUCAGGAAAACCACAAAACCAUGCAUGAAUCAAAGAACUAUACUGCUGAAAAUAUUUUCCAUUGCCUCGGAAACGCGGACUGCGCUCCGUUCCUACAGAACAAUCGGGAAUACUAUAUAUGGCUCAGUCCACGUGUUAUUUAAAUUCAAAAAAUAGAUUCAUGGCGGAUGUUUACCAAGUCAACACUGACAUUCAGGCGAGAAGAUGUUGGUACCGAGGCUACUCAAAAACUAGUGAUAGAAGUAGCUCGAAGGCAAAAAGUAAGGAUUCCUGUCGAGCCUCUUACAUCUAAUGAGUUUAUAACCACUGAAUCUAAAUAUAUGAAUUUAGAAAAAGAG
rnacentral:misc_RNA from 1 species